GGCCCAAAUCUCCAGUACUUUUUCUGCUCAUAAAAAUCUGAUUAUUUGCUAAUCCUUUAGAAUGUAUGGUUUCUAUUGACAGUUGGAAAAGGAUCACUUCAUUCACGCUGCCUAGUCAAGUGACCCUAGCCUCUUUAGGUAAGUGAUUCAAUAUAUUAUUAAUAAAAGUUACCUUUGGUUCAAGCUUUGAAAAUAAAUUAUAUUGUUUAUGUAGGUAAAACACAAAGAUCAGAAAUCAAUGACAUUUGAAACAGCAAGACGAAAGGGAGUUUAACAUCCAGCAUAUAUGAAUAACUACAACCCUACAGAAAAAAAAUCCAGUUCAAAACUCGGCAAAGGAUUUAAGUAGACAUUUUUUCCAAGAAGAUAUACAAAUGUCCAAGGAGUACGUGAAAAGCUUCUCAGCAUCAUUAAUCAUUAGGAAAAUGCAAAUCAGAAUCACAAUGAGCCAUUACCUCAUACCCAUUAGGAUGGCUAUUUUUUUAAAGCAAAAAAAAAAAAAAGGUGUAGCUGCUAUGGAAAAUAAUAUGCUGGUUCCUCAACAAAAUAAAUAUAGAAUUACCAUAUGAUCCAGUAAUUCCACAUUUAGGUGUAUACACAAAAAAGCUAAAAGCAGAACCUCAAAGAGGUCUUGUAUACCAAUGUUCAUAAAAUCAUUAUUUACAGUAGCAAAACGGUAGAAAAAUCUCUAAUGACUAUCAGUGGAUGAAUGGAUAAACAAAGUAUGGUCUAUCUACACAAUGAAACAUACCCAGUUUUAAAAAGGAGUGAAAUUCUGAUGGAUGCUACAACAUAGAUGAACCUUGAGGCCUUAUGCUAGAUGAAAUAUGCCAGACACAAAAGGACAAUUAUUGUAUGAUUCCACCUAUCUGAAAUACCUGGAAUUCUCAUAUUCAUAGAGACAGACAGUAGAAUAGUGGUUUCCAGGAUGGGGAAAAGAGGAGAACAGGAAGUGAUUGUUCAAUAGAUAUGGAGUUUCGCUUGGGAUGAUGAAAAAGUUCUGGAGAUGAUGGUGGUGAUGACUGCACAACAAUGUGAAUGUACUUAAUGACAUGUAAAAAUGGUUAAAAUGGUAAAUAUUAUCUUAUGUAUAUUUUACCAAUAAUAAAAAUACUUUAACACUG
rnacentral:lncRNA from 1 species